GUGCUCGCUUCGGCGGCAAAUAUAUUAAAAUUGGAAUGAUACAGAAAUUAGCAUGGCCCCUGUGCAAGGAUGACACGCAAAUUCGUAAAGCGUUCCAUAAAAAA
rfam:Pteropus alecto contig69130, whole genome shotgun sequence.